UUAAUUUAGUGACAGGGUUUAAUUUGGGACGAACGUUUGUCACCACAAAGUGCCGAGCUGUCGGAGAGACGUGUGGAGAAGGUACAGCAGAGACCGGUGUUCCUGCUGCCCAAUGACAUUCCAGCUCAAACAGCAAAAAUUAAAAGGACUCUGACAAAUAAAUAAGACAACACAUACCUCAUUUAUCCCAAAGGUACAGGACGACUUCACCACAUUGAGGGACCAAUGAGCAGGACCAUGUACAAUAAAAUCUUGGACAAUACCCUUGUUUGCUCACCCAGAACACUAAAGAUGGGUCAAGGAUGACUUUUCCAGCAUGGCAGUAGCCAAAACCAAGGCAACAAAGAAGCACAUUAAGAUUAUGGAGUAGCUUAGCCACUCUCCAAACUCUCUCAGUCCUAUAGAAAAUUGGUGGAGGGAGCUGAACCUUUGAGUUUCCAAGUUGCAGCCAAGAAACCUAAAAAAGUUUCUGUAAAGAGGAGCGGGCCGAAAUCCCUCCUCAGAUGUGCACAAACCUGGUGACCAACUACAAAAAAACUUCUUACCACCAUGCUU